GUCUACAGCAAUACCACCAUGAAUGCACCCGAACUCAUCUGAUUUCAGUAGCUAAGCAGGAUCAGGCCUGGUUAGUACUUGGAUGGGAGAAAACUUACAAAAACAUUGAUUUAAAAU
rnacentral:rRNA from 1 species